UGUGAGCUCGAUGAGUAGGGCGGGACACGUGGUAUCCUGUCUGAAUAUGGGGGGACCAUCCUCCAAGGCUAAAUACUCCUGACUGACCGAUAGUGAACCAGUACCGUGAGGGAAAGGCGAAAAGAACCCCGGCGAGGGGAGUGAAAAAGAACCUGAAACCGUGUACGUACAAGCAGUGGGAGCACGCUUAGGCGUGUGACUGCGUACCUUUUGUAUAAUGGGUCAGCGACUUAUAUUCUGUAGCAAGGUUAACCGAAUAGGGGAGCCGAAGGGAAACCGAGUCUUAACUGGGCGUUAAGUUGCAGGGUAUAGACCCGAAACCCGGUGAUCUAGCCAUGGGCAGGUUGAAGGUUGGGUAACACUAACUGGAGGACCGAACCGACUAAUGUUGAAAAAUUAGCGGAUGACUUGUGGCUGGGGGUGAAAGGCCAAUCAAACCGGGAGAUAGCUGGUUCUCCCCGAAAGCUAUUUAGGUAGCGCCUCGUGAAUUCAUCUCCGGGGGUAGAGCACUGUUUCGGCAAGGGGGUCAUCCCGACUUACCAACCCGAUGCAAACUGCGAAUACCGGAGAAUGUUAUCACGGGAGACACACGGCGGGUGCUAACGUCCGUCGUGAAGAGGGAAACAACCCAGACCGCCAGCUAAGGUCCCAAAGUCAUGGUUAAGUGGGAAACGAUGUGGGAAGGCCCAGACAGCCAGGAUGUUGGCUUAGAAGCAGCCAUCAUUUAAAGAAAGCGUAAUAGCUCACUGGUCGAGUCGGCCUGCGCGGAAGAUGUAACGGGGCUAAACCAUGCACCGAAGCUGCGGCAGCGAC
rnacentral:rRNA from 2 species